GACCCGUCCUUAAACACGGACCAAGGAGUCUAGCAAAUGCGCGAGUAAUUGGGUGAUAAACCUAAAAGCGUAAUGAAAGUGAAGGUCGUCUUGAUACGGCUGAUAUGUGAUGCGUGUUGUCAACGACUUCACGUUGCAGCAUAGCCCCGUCCUUGUUGCAUGCAAUAGGGCGGAGGAAGAGCGCAUAUGCUGGGACCCGAAAGAUGGUGAACUAUGCCUGAGCAGGAUGAAGCCAGAGGAAACUCUGGUGGAGGUCCGAAACGGUUCUGACGUGCAAAUCGAUCGUCUGACUUGGGUAUAGGGGCGAAAGACUAAUCGAACCAUCUAGUAGCUGGUUCCUUC
rnacentral:rRNA from 1 species